rnacentral:rRNA from 1 species
UACGUAGGGUGCAAGCGUUGUCCGGAAUUAUUGGGCGUAAAGAGCGUGUAGGCGGCCAUUCAGGUCAGCUGUGAAAACUCGAGGCUCAACCUCGAGACGUCGGUUGAAACCGUUUGGCUAGAGUCCGGAAGAGGAGAGUGGAAUUCCCGGUGUAGAGGUGAAAUUCGUAGAUAUCGGGAGGAACACCAGUGGCGAAGGCGGCGACCUGGGCCAAUAUUGACGCUGAGGUGCGAAAGCGUGGGGAGCAAACAGG